UCUAUAGCUCAGUUGGUAGAGCAACAGAUUCGUAACCUGUAGGUCGGGAGUUCGAUUCUCCCUAG
rnacentral:tRNA from 1 species